rnacentral:RNase_P_RNA from 2 species
GAAGAAGGCUGGAUGAUCGCCGGUUUGCCACCUUCGGGCAAGGCAAACGGGAGGAAAGUCCGGGCUCCGUAGGACGGGAUGGUUCCUAACGGGAACCGGGGGUGACCCCAGGGAAAGUGCCACAGAGAGAAGACCGCCUGCAGUUUUUGCUGCAGGUAAGGGUGAAAGGGUGAGGUAAGAGCUCACCAGUUCCGGCGGUGACGUCGGAAGCUCGGUAAACCCCAUCCGGAGCAAGGCCGAAUAGGGAAACGUUUGAGGGCGGUCCGUCCGAAGUUUCCGGGUAUGGCUGCUUGAGGCUGUCGGCAACGGCAGCCCUAGAGGAAUGAUCAUCACUUUGCGGCGGGUAACCGGCGCAGGGGACAGAACCCGGCUUAUGGCCUUCUUUGGCC